ensembl:lncRNA
CCCUCACUUUCUGCUUCGUUACCCUGCUUGCUCCUUAGAGACCUGUCCCACUCUCGGCCAGGAUGAGUAGUUUGGGGUUCCUCAUUGGCAACGUGUUUGAUUAAGUCUUAACUUUCAGAGGAUUGGUGCUAGAGAUUUUCUGGAAAUCAGGUUUAGGGGCGUUCCUUAAACACCCAAAAACGAUGCUCUAGGAAAGCGUUCAUUAAAUACUGAUCCCUGCAGCUGGUGGAAAGCCGUGAUGGGGUUCAGUCCCAGUAACUUCCAGAUGGUGACAGCGUUCUUACCCGGUCCCUUCUCACGUACAGCCCCAUCAGCAGCAGGCACAAUGGGAUCUUCCUCCCGGUGUGAGAUGCUUUCAGCUCCCUUCUUCUCCUGAUACACCCAUCUUUGCAUGAGAUGCUGCCAUGCCCUUGCACCGCGGUGCUGGCCGAUAUCACAGCAGCUCUGCUCCGCUGUCCCUGCAUGCUGUGUUGUGUUGGGGUUGGCUUUGGAGGAGCAGAGCAGCCCGGGAUGUCCCAGAGGGCUCUGCAGUGCAGAACAGACCCGGAGGUGGAUGGCAGCCCCAUGCCUGGCUCGGGUGACGUUGGAUGCAAAGUGGGCAUCGUGGGGAUCGGCUUAGCCCAACUGUAUCCAUGAGAAAAGCCUCCCCACCUGUGCUGUUUGGUCAGGAAGCAAUGAAGCCCGAAGUUACACCUAGCCCUGUCCUUCCUCUUCUACGUGCAGCGUUUGGAAUCUGUCCGUGUCUGUAUGGUGUAUGGAGUUUCGGUUUUGGACGCGUGUGAGUGUGUCUAUGGAUACAUAUCUGCAGUACGUGUGCUUCCAUCCGUGUUUAUACGCACACAGUCGGGCGUUGCAAGCUGGAGCAGUGAGAUGUGGUCCGAGAGCGAGGUGGAAACUCAGGGGGGGAGGGGGGGGAAGGGGGGGGUCGAAUCAACGUUUCUCUUUGCUUUGGUUUUUAAUUGGACCUCGUGCUUGAAUUCUUCCUCGCUGCACACUAAGAGCAGCGAAGGCAGAUUGCCGGUGCUGCAUUCCCUCUCCAUACCUGGGGGGAAAGUGUAGCGUUGAGUUCCGGGCUGGAAUCCCAUUGCUGGUCCCCGGAGAGGUGAGGUCCUCUCUCCAACCCACACGUAGGUGAUCAAUCCCUCUUAUUACAGCGUGCCACGGCCCAGCCGGGCGCUGCGAGCUCU